CAUAGAUACAAGGAAACGGGUACGUGGCAGCGUAUCCCGAACCAGUUCGUUCGACCCGGAACACGGGUCGUUUCCAACCAGAUCGCCACAAUUCGCGUCCGGUUCGUGAAUUCCGGCGAUCCACACAAACUCCGGCGACCAAGUCUUUUAAGAAUAACAGAGAGAGUGGGUACGCUGUCACAAGAGCACACAUAGUUCAGAUCUAAACAUCAUAUGAUACUGGC
rnacentral:lncRNA from 1 species